rnacentral:rRNA from 1 species
UUUAAAUGUAAAUUAUUAAACUAAAUUAUUAAUAGUUAUGUUCUUUAAAGUUAAAGAAUUUGGCGGUAUCUUAGUCUAUUUAGAGGAACCUGUUCUAUAAUCGAUGGUCCACGAUUUAUCUUACUUGUUUUAUUAGUUUAUAUAUCGUCGUAGUUUGAAUAUUUUAAAAGAAUAAUAAUAUUCAAGAUUCUCUAUAAAGAAGGAAAUCAGAUCAAGGUGUAGCGUAUAAACAAGAAGAAAUGGGUUACAAUAAAUUUAUUUAAAUGGAUAUUUAUUUGAAAAAUAAAUAUGAAAGUGGAUUUAAAAGUAAUAAAAUUUAAUUAAAUUUUAUGAUUUUAGCUCUAAGAUAUGU